rnacentral:misc_RNA from 1 species
AACGCACAUUGCGCCCCUUGGUAUUCCGGGGGGCAUGCCUGUUCGAGCGUCAUUACAACCCUCAAGCACUGCUUGGCCUUGGGCUCCGCUACUCACCUAGCGGGCCUCAAAACCAGUGGCGGCGCCGUCGGGCCCUGAGCGUAGUAAAUCUCCUCGCUAUAGGGACCCGGUGGACGCUGGCCAUCAACCCCCACUUUCUAAGUUUGACCUCGGAUCAGGUAGGGAUACCCGCUGAACUUAA